AGCUAGCCACAGCUAACCUUAGCUAGCCACAGGUACAACUAGCCCCUUCACAGCUAGCCACAGCUAACCUUAGCUAGCCACAGGUACAACUAGCCCCCUCACAGCUAGCCACAGGUACAACUAGCCCCCUCACAGCUAGCCACAGCUAACCUUAGCUAGCCACAGGUACAACUAGCCCCCUCACAGCUAGCCACAGCUAACCUUAGCUAGCCACAGGUACAACUAACCCCCUCACAGCUAGCCACAGGUACAACUAGCCUCCUCACAGCUAGCCACAGGUACAACUAGCCCCCUCACAGCUAGCCACAGCUAGCCACAGCUAACCUCAGCUAGCCACAGGUACGCCUAGCCCCCUCAGGUCACUGAAUGGCGGAGUCCGGCCCUGAUCCAGACAAGGUGACGGUUCUAUCUGGGCUGCAACGCAUAACAUUCAUUUCUUGAGAAAUUAAUAAUGUAUUGAAGGAGCGUUUUAUCAGCCGCCGUGGCUAUCGACGUCUGGCGCGACCAGCUGACAGACAUACGUCAUAAGGCCAUAGCGCUUCACGCUACUCGGCCAAUCAAAGCCAUCGUUUUCAGUGUGUGGAAAGAGGGGCGGGUCGUUGUGGAAAGGGCCCUCCUCCUCCUCCUCCUCCUCCUCCCUCCUCCUCCUCCUCCU